CCCUAUAUCGCGCCUAGCCCCAUCCAGUAGGCGAGGGAUCCCGACCCGCGGAUGGGGGCGGGGGACCCACCGGGUCCGCCGAGAUCGGACCGGGGCCAUCUGGCCCCUUGGGGUGAAGCCGACGUCGGUCAAUGGAGAUCGAAUGCGGCCGGGUGACCUCUCCCACCCGAACCCGACAGCUGACCUCGCAGGCGUGUACACGAGAGGAAUA
rnacentral:sRNA from 1 species